rnacentral:rRNA from 1 species
GCUGCAGCUAACGCAUUAAGUAAUCCGCCUGGGGAGUACGACCGCAAGGUUGAAACUCAAAAGAAUUGACGGGGGCCCGCACAAGCGGUGGAGCAUGUGGUUUAAUUCGAAGCUACGCGAAGAACCUUACCAGGUCUUGACAUCUUCUGACAGUCUAAGAGAUUAGAGGUUCCCUUCGGGGACAGAAUGACAGGUGGUGCAUGGUUGUCGUCAGCUCGUGUCGUGAGAUGUUGGGUUAAGUCCCGCACGAGCGCAACCCUUAUUACUAGUUGCCAGCAUUAAGUUGGGCACUCUAGUGAGACUGCCGGUGACAAACCGGAGGAAGGUGGGGACGACGUCAAAUCAUCAUGCCCCUUAUGACCUGGGCUACACACGUGCUACAAUGGAUGGUACAACGAGUCGCGAGACCGCGAGGUUAAGCUAAUCUCUUAAAACCAUUCUCAGUUCGGACUGUAGGCUGCAACUCGCCUACACGAAGUCGGAAUCGCUAGUAAUCGCGGAUCAGCAUGCCGCGGUGAAUACGUUCCCGGGCCUUGUACACACCGCCCGUCACACCAUGAGAGUUUGUAACACCCAAAGCCGGUGGGGUAACCUUUUAGGAGCUAGCCGUCUAAGGUGGGACAGAUGAUUAGGGUGAAGUCGUAACAAG